rnacentral:lncRNA from 1 species
UAGAUAUCAACAAACGAAAUGAUCCGGCUCACGUAGCAGAACUGUUAACCCAAGCCUGUAACCUGUGAAGCCCAGCAGUUGAUGCAUUCAUGAACUUCAAGUGGUCAGAACAGGCUGCUCUCUGCUUCCUCAAUGGUAGAAGCGGUGUGUCCACCUUCGCCAUUUCUGCUGGACGUUUGUCUCCAGUGCAAAAAAGCACUGUGUGCAACACGACAUCCACGACAC